rnacentral:rRNA from 1 species
UACGGAGGGAGCUAGCGUUGUUCGGAAUUACUGGGCGUAAAGCGCACGUAGGCGGCUUUGUAAGUUAGAGGUGAAAGCCCGGGGCUCAACUCCGGAACUGCCUUUAAGACUGCAUCGCUUGAAUCCAGGAGAGGUGAGUGGAAUUCCGAGUGUAGAGGUGAAAUUCGUAGAUAUUGGGAAGAACACCGAUGGCGAAGGCAGCCAUCUGGACCGACACUGACGCUGAGGCGCGAAAGCGUGGGGAGCAAACAGG